rnacentral:rRNA from 1 species
GACGAACCGUGCGAACGUUGUUCGGAAUCACUGGGCUUAAAGCGUGUGUAGGCGGACUUGUAAGUACCUUGUGAAAUCCCACGGCUCAACCGUGGAACUGCUUGGUAUACUGCUUGUCUUGAGCCACUUAGGGGCUACCGGAACAAAUGGUGGAGCGGUGAAAUGCGUAGAUAUCAUUUGGAACGCCAAUGGUGAAAACAGGUAGCUGGGAGUGUGCUGACGCUGAGACACGAAAGCCAGGGGAGCGAACGGG